UGAGGAAUAUUGGUCAAUGGGCGCAGGCCUGAACCAGCCAAGUCGCGUGAGGGAUGACGGUCCUACGGAUUGUAAACCUCUUUUGUCGGGGAGUAACGUGCGGGACGCGUCCCGUAUUGAGAGUACCCGAAGAAAAAGCAUCGGCUAACUCCGUGCCAGCAGCCGCGGUAAUACGGAGGGUGCAAGCGUUAAUCGGAAUAACUGGGCGUAAAGGGCAUGCAGGCGGUUAUACAAGUAGGAUGUGAAAGCCUGGGGCUCAACCUCAGAACUGCAUUCUAAACUGUGUGACUAGAGUAUUGCAGGGGGAGACGGAAUUUCAGGUGUAGCGGUGGAAUGCGUAGAUAUCUGAAAGAACACCAAAGGCGAAGGCAGUCUCCUGGGCAAAUACUGACGCUCA
rnacentral:rRNA from 1 species